GAUGAACGCUGGCGGCGUGCCUAAUACAUGCAAGUCGAGCGAACGGACGAGAAGCUUGCUUUUCUGAUGUUAGCGGCGGACGGGUGAGUAACACGUGGAUAACCUACCUAUAAGACUGGGAUAACUUCGGGAAACCGGAGCUAAUACCGGAUAAUAUUUUGAACCGCAUGGUUCAAAAGUGAAAGACGGUCUUGCUGUCACUUAUAGAUGGAUCCGCGCUGCAUUAGCUAGUUGGUAAGGUAACGGCUUACCAAGGCAACGAUGCAUAGCCGACCUGAGAGGGUGAUCGGCCACACUGGAGCUGAGACACGGUCCAGACUCCUACGGGAGGCAGCAGUAGGGAAUCUUCCGCAAUGGGCGAAAGCCUGACGGAGCAACGCCGCGUGAGUGAUGAAGGUCUUCGGGUCGUAAAACUCUGUUAUUAGGGAAGAACAUAUGUGUAAGUAACUGUGCACAUCUUGACGGUACCUAAUCAGAAAGCCACGGCUAACUACGUG
rnacentral:rRNA from 1 species